AUUGAACGCUGGCGGCAGGCUUAACACAUGCAAGUCGAACGAGUGGUGGACGGGUGAGUAAUGUUUGGGAAUCUAGCUGAUGGAGGGGGAUAACUACGGGAAACGGUAGCUAAUACCGCGUACCAUAGGAUGAGCCCAAAUGGGAUUAGGUAGUUAGUGGGGUAACGGCUCCCCAAGCCGACGAUCGCUAGCUGGUCUGAGAGGAUGACUGUCCACACGGGGACUGAGAAACGGCCCAGACUCCUACGGGAGGCAGCAGUGGGGAAUAUUGCGCAAUGGGGGCAACCCAGACGCAGCCAUGCCGCGUGAAUGAAGAGGGCCUUCGGGUUGUAAAGUUCUUUCGGCUGGGAGGCGUUAACUACAGAAGAAGCACCGGCUAACUCCGUGCCAGCAGCCGCGGUAAUAC
rnacentral:rRNA from 1 species